UAUAAAUGGUAUACAAUGAAACUGCGAAUGGCUCAUUAAAACAGUUAUAGUUUAUUUGGUAAUCAAACUUACAUGGAUAACCGUGGUAAUUCUAGAGCUAAUACAUGCUGUUGCGCCCGACUCACGAAGGGCCGUAUUUAUUAGAUAUCAGCCAAUAAGCUUCUGCUAUUGUGGUGACUCAUAGUAACUUAAUCGGAUCGCAUGGGCUUGCCCCGCGACAAACCAUUCAAGUUUCUGCCCCAUCAUGCUUUCGAUGGUAGUGUAUUGGACUACCAUGGCUUUCACGGGUAACGGAGGAUUAGGGUUCGAUUCCGGAGAGGGAGCCUGAGAAACGGCUACCACUUCCACGGAAGGCAGCAGGCGCGUAAAUUACCCAAUCCUGAUUCAGGGAGGUAGUGACAAGAAAUAAUGGGUCGGGGUUCUGCCCCGGGACUGCAAUGAGACGAAUCUAGACCCCUUAUCGAGGACCAAUUGGAGGGCAAGUCUGGUGCCAGCAGCCGCGGUAAUUCCAGCUCCAAUAGCGUAUAUUAAAGUUGUUGCAGUUAAAAAGCUCGUAGUUGGAUUUCUGGUAGAAGGUUAGAGCGCACCUGCGUGAUGCUCGCGUCUUCUGCCAUCCUUCUGUUAACCUAGCAUGGCCUUGAUUGGUCGGCUAGGGGCUCAGAUAUUUUACCUUGAGAAAAUUAGAGUGUUUCAGGCAGGCUUGUGCCCGGAUACAUUAGCAUGGAAUAAUAGAAUAGGACUUUAGCCUCUUCUGUUGGUCUGAGGGGUUGAAGUAAUGAUU
rnacentral:rRNA from 1 species